rnacentral:pre_miRNA from 1 species
UUUUCGUUUUUUCCGUGUCGAACGUUUGACCAUUUGUUUUAUUUGAAUUUUUUUACGAUUAAUAUUUUUGUUAUUACUAGAUAAUAAAAUAUGAAUAGUACUUUAUACGUCGUUACUAACUUUUUUAGUUUUUUGCACAAAUCUUUUAAAUAAGAUGAAUGAUCAAACAUUGGACACGAAAAA